AAUCAACGCUGGCGGCGUGCCUAACACAUGCAAGUCGUACGAGAAAGCGGGGGCAACUCCGUGAGUACAGUGGCGACCGGGUGAGUAACACGUGACUAACCUACCUCCGAGUGGGGAAUAACUCCGGGAAACCGGGGCUAAUACCGCAUAACAUCGCAAGAUCAAAGCAGCAAUGCGCUUGGAGAGGGGGUCGCGGCUGAUUAGCUGGUUGGCGGGGUAACGGCCCACCAAGGCGAAGAUCGGUAUCCGGCCUGAGAGGGCGCACGGACACACUGGA
rnacentral:rRNA from 1 species